CCUUCACUUGGCCCAAAACUACCGCACUGCCCCGCCCUUGCAUCCCCUCCCCUUAGCGCCGCCAGCUCGCUCCGCACCACCAUCUCCUCCCCGACACCCGGGGCUAGGGUUUCGCUCCCACACUCAUGGCCGCCGCCACCUCGCGGAUCGACCUCUCCGGCGAUCCUUCUCCUCCCCGCUCGCCCUCCUCUUCGCUCGCCGCAGCCUCGCCGGCGCCGCAGGUACUAAUCCCCCUCCGCCCGCUCCCAGAACCUCCCUGCUCACCCUCCUCGUCGCUCGCCGCGGCCUUGCCAACGCCGCAGGUACGAAUCCACCUUCGCCCGCUUCCAGGAUCUCCCCGCUCGCCCUCUUCGUCGCUCGCCGCGGCCUCGUCGGCGCCACAGAAAAGUUUGGAAGAGCUGGUAUUCAAGCAGUACUGCAUAUGAAGCAGCUUCAGGCGAACUCCGUUAGACCUGGGUUUGGAUCGACAAGCAGAAGCAGCACGCGCUGGAUGUGGUUCACUUGAGUGGUUGUUCAGUUCCAUAUCGAAGCUUUGAAGAAACAGCGCGAGCUCCGCGGCGUCCAGGCUGAGGAUCAUAUGCAAGGAACAAAGAUGAUCUUUUAUUAUUGUAGGAUUUUGUGCUAGAUUAAAACUUAAGUUAGACUAUCAUUUCACGCCGAGUUUUACUUGUGCUAUUGUAUGUAUAUGCUGAGAUGGAUCAAAACUUAUUUCUUAUAAUGAAAAUUUGGGGUGAAAAUUUGGGCCAAAAAGUGGCCCACUUCUAAAUUGGCCCAAUUAAUAAA